UUAUGUGCUUUAUUACACUGGUCGGCCUUGUGUUUUGAAUAUACACAUAGUUAGGCAGAGCAUAGCUUAGGAUGCACUGUUUCUAAACAGAUCACACCUCGUCAUAUUCGAUUCAUAGCAGACCCAUUUAUUCUCUACAAAAUCUACAGCAGGACACCAUCCCAUCACCUCUCCUCUGUCACUCCUGACCCUGCUGUCCCCAUGGAGAUGACCUCUCUCCUAUUCCUACUCUGUGCAGGUGUCUGCUGCACAGCCGCACUCAGCCGCCUCAAACAGUUCCAUCUCAUUGAAAGGAGUUUAAACUGGACAGAAGCACAAGACAUCUGCCGGGAGAACUAUACCGACCUCGUCACUUUGUACAAUCGGGAGGAAUCUGAGCAGCUGAAACAGUUAAUGGCAUCUCAAUGCAGCUAUAAAGCCUGGAUAGGUCUCCAUCGCACAGAGCACAGUCUGAAAUGGUCCAAUGGAGACACUGUUAAUGACACUGCAUGGUCACCACUUCCAAGCCCGUGCACAGAGCCAACGUGUGCAGCCAUACUCAAAGAUAAUACAACAUGGAAGAAUUGUAAAGAGCAGAAAUACUUCAUGUGU